GAGUACUCCGCGAUAUAAACCAGGGCAACAAAAGUGGAGCAUACGACGAUGCCGCCCGUUUUCAUUUCGUGGAAGUCCCCGGCAGAGGAAAGGGCUGUAGGUGAUGGCGCGUUCUGCUUCUUAUCUAGAGAGGGGCGUUCAACCACUUGACUGUAAGGAGAGGAGCGUCGAAAUCCCUUCUAUUGGUUCUUGCGUGGCAGCUGGUAUAGAUGAUGAAAGGCGGGCGGCUUUUUCGGGACCUAUUCUCUUAAUAGGCGGCAAAGCG
rnacentral:lncRNA from 1 species